rnacentral:rRNA from 1 species
UACGAGGGGGGCAAGCGUUGUUCGGAUUUAUUGGGCGUAAAGGGUGCGUAGGCGGUCGGGUAAGUCUGAUGUGAAAUCUCACAGCUUAACUGUGAAACUGCAUUGGAUACUAUUCGGCUUGAGAGUUGGAGGGGGGACUGGAAUUCUUGGUGUAGCAGUGAAAUGCGUAGAUAUCAAGAGGAACACCAGUGGCGAAGGCGAGUCCCUGGACAACUUCUGACGCUGAGGAACGAAAGCUAGGGGAGCAAACGGG